AACCGCCGUAUACGGAACCGUACGUACAGUGGUGUGAGGGGGUUGGGGGUUAGUCGCCCCCUCCUACUCGAU
rnacentral:misc_RNA from 1 species